AUGUACUAACCCUCUGAAAGCCAGCAAGCAGCACUCCUCUGCCUCAGCUCCUGCCUCUAGGUUCCUGCCCUGUCCUGACAUCCUUCGAUGACAGACUGUGAUGUGGCAGUGUAACCCUUUCCUUCCCAGCUUGUUUGUGUCAUGGUGUUUCAUCACAGCAAUAGCGUCCCUUCCUAGGACCGUGAGCUGAGAGCACUUUUUUUAGAAGACGUGCAAAGUGAAAGGAAAUGUGUAAUUCUAGUUAAACUGCAGAGUCGGAGAAAUGGCUUGCCAGUCCAGUGUCUGGUGAGGCACCUGACACAGGAGCAGCUGUAACUCCACCUGGCAUUACCAGGAAAGUCAGAAUCCUACACUUUAUGAACUUGAUAUCUUGACGGUUUUUUUUUUUUUUUUGGUUUGAUAAAGAGUCCUUCAUGUUGUCACUGUGUAUUCAAUUCACGCUGAGCCUAGGCUGUGACACCAGGCCUUCUUCCCCAUGUACUAGGUCUGUUCUGAGUCAAAAAGUUAUACGCAGCUGUUCCAAACCACAUUUGCUUGUUGGCCUAAAGAAUUUAUUCCAUGAGUUUAUAUUUUGUUACCCACAUUUUCGUCUAUUCAAAUAGAUUAAAACAAACAUCCAUGAUGGUUUGUACCAAUCAGACUUUAUUGCUCUCAUUCUUCUACUGUAAAGGCACGGAAAACAAAAGGCAAUGAUAAAAUGGGUUACAUUGCUCUAUUUUAAUUGUGUGAGAUGUUACUCAUAAUAUUUGCUUGAAGCUCUGUCAAGAAGCUAUGCUAGGAAGUCCCAGGGAAGUUACCUGGGUUAAUAACACCUUCUCUUAGAUGUUUUAUGGCCUUCUGCCUAUAAAGAACUUCAUGGUGGAUGCAGAUGAACUUAAUGAAUAUUCAUAUUGCAAGAGAAAUCCAGCAGAGGGUCUGGUACAAGGCAUUAUUCUUCCUGCUCUAAAGGUUGGCUAAUAUGUGUGGGUCACAGUGCUGGGGUCUUUAAUAAGUUACAAUCAAUCAGACUUCAGGACUCUCUCAAGCUUCAGUAUUAAGGUUGGGGGAACAGCAGACUGGCACAAGCCCAAACUGAGUUUCUGGAGCAACGUUGAUGGCAUUAACAGCGUGGUAAAACUGCACACUUGUUAAUUUGCACAUCUAUCAGGACCUCUAAUAUGCAUUACUUAGUGUCAAGUCAACAUUAGGGAUGAGAGGCUUUUAAAUACUGUCCUUCUGACCUUAGAAACCGCAGGAAGUCAAAUGUGGCUUCUAAGCCCCUGCAUGAAAACUUACUGGAACAGUGUAAGAAGUAAAAUCUCUCCCCAGAAGCCAGCAGUGAUCUUCAAAAUCCCCUCUUUUAAAUGAGCUGGAGAGGGAAUUCAAGAAGAAACACUACUUUUAAACAUUUUAAUUUACUCGUGUGACCACUUUGGAUACUACCAGUUUUUAACCUGUCUUUCUGCCUUCACUGCCCUGGUCACGUUGUCUGGGCAGCACAGGACCACAUUAACUGUGCUAAUAAGAGAAAGUUACAUGAUCAGUUAUGUAGGACUGAGCAUCAGAACACUUUCCAUAUCUGUGGGAGUGGCUAUUUAUCAAUUACAAAUGAUACGAAAAUCACACUCUCCAGUUCCCCUUUCGGUCUGGUCUGUGUAUCAGGGAACUGCAGUUGCCUUUCAUGCAGGAACUAUAUUUAUGAUCUAGCCUAUUUCCUACAACUUCAGUUAGACAGUUUUCCUUAACAAUGACUAUUACCAUGUUUCCUUAACAAUGGCUGUUACAAUGUUUUACUCAGACUAUGACUUCCUGACCUAUUGUUACAAACACAGAACAGACUGACCUUGAUAAUCAUGUAACAAAGUAUUUUGUAGAUUACAUAUUGAUUUGUACAAAAUUAAAGAUGUAUUUCAAAUGGUU
rnacentral:lncRNA from 1 species